UACGAACCACACGAACGUUAUUCGGAAUUACUGGGCUUAAAGGGUGCGUAGGCGGCGCGGUAAGUAGGGUGUGAAAUCCCUCGGCUCAACCGAGGAACUGCGCUCUAAACUACCGUGCUCGAGGGAGAUAGAGGUGAGCGGAACUUAGGGUGGAACGGUGAAAUGUGUUGAUAUCCUAAGGAACACCGGUGGCGAAGGCGGCAUCCUGGACCGGUAUUGACGCUGAGGCGCGAAAGCUAGGGGAGCAAACGGG
rnacentral:rRNA from 1 species